rnacentral:rRNA from 1 species
AGUUGGUGGAGCGAUUUGUCUGGUUAAUUCCGUUAACGAACGAGACCACAGCCUAUUAAAUAGUACGCAUUAUCGUUUUAGAUAGUGUGAGACUUCUUAGAGGGACAUUUCGGGUUUACCGGAAGGAAGUUUGUGGCAAUAACAGGUCU